rnacentral:rRNA from 1 species
GACGUAGGGGGCCAGCGUUGUUCGGAAUUACUGGGUGUAAAGGGUUCGUAGGCGGUGCGGCAAGUCGGGAGUGAAAUCUCUGGGCUCAACCCAGAGGCUGCUUCCGAAACUGCUGUGCUUGAGUGUGGGAGAGGCGCGUGGAAUUGCAGGUGUAGCGGUGAAAUGCGUAGAUAUCUGCAGGAACACCCGUGGCGAAAGCGGCGCGCUGGACCACUACUGACGCUGAAGAACGAAAGCUAGGGGAGCAAACGGG